rnacentral:rRNA from 1 species
GUCCUCUUGUUUUAUUAUAUGAGGUCAAGCCUGCCCGGUGAUAAUUAUUUAACGGCCGCGGUAUUUUGACCGUGCAAAGGUAGCAUAAUCAUUAGUCUUUUAAUAGGGGGCUGGAAUGAAGGGCUUGACGAGGCGCUAACUGUCUCAAUUAAAUAAGUUAAAAUUUAGCUUUUGAGUUAAAAGGCUCAAAUUCUUUUGGAAGACGAGAAGACCCUAUAGAGCUUUAAUGGUCAAUUUUAAUGGCUGUUGUGUUUCAUUUUUACUGCUGUUGAUUAGACUUUUUUGUUGGGGCGACAAAAGAUAUAUAUUUAACUUUUAUUAUUUAUUAUACAUUUAUUUAUGAUUCUUAGAUCCAUUAUUAUUGAUUAGUAGAAUAAGUUACCUUAGGGAUAACAGCGUAAUCUUCCUCCAGAGCUCGAAUUUACAGGAAGGCUUGCGACCUCGAUGUUGGAUUAAGAUAAUGAUUGGGUGCAGUAGCCCAAUUAAUAGGUCUGUUCGACCUUUAAAUUCUU